rnacentral:rRNA from 1 species
UGCGCAGGCGGUUAUGUAAGACAGAUGUGAAAUCCCCGGGCUCAACCUGGGAACUGCAUUAGUGACUGCAUAGCUGGAGUACGGCAGAGGGGGAUGGAAUUCCGCGUGUAGCAGUGAAAUGCGUAGAUAUGCGGAGGAACACCGAUGGCGAAGGCAAUCCCCUGGGCCUGUACUGACGCUCAUGCACGAAAGCGUGGGGAGCAAACA